UCACAGCUCGUCCUGCUUCGUCCUCAGCUGCAGCAGACGCCACUUCUCCCCAGGUUCACCAGAAGAAACCACACAAAAUGCUUCUGCUGCUGCCGGCUGUUCUGUGCUGUCUGUGUUCAGCGCUGGUUGUCACGGCAACACAGCUGAUUCAGGAGGAUGUAACACUGACCAGGAGAGUCGGUCAACAAGUCUCCUUCAGCUGUGGAGGAACUCAGAAGUGUUCGAGUUUUACAGGCUGGUUCCAGAAGAAAGACACAGAAACAGUUAAACUGAUUCUCCGUUUUAAGGGCGACGGUUUCAUUUAUAACAAUAAUAAUCAUCCUCAGAAAGCUGACUUCUCAUCUGUAGAUAAAGGUAAAGGUUAUGAGUUGCAGAUCCAGACAGUUCUACCCUCUCAUUCAGCCUCAUACUACUGCGCCUGUUAUGUCAGUUUACCCACAGUGAGAAAAGACACCUGAAGUCUGUACAAAAACCUCCAGAUGCACAAACAUCAACCAGCAUUAGUGACAUGAACAGAACAGCAAACCUUGACAACCAUCCCAUAUUUCAGUUCCAUCUCAGACACAAACUAACUGAUCUGAGGACACUUUGAAUCCCAUACAUUUCAUAUUUUCAAGUGAAUUUGACACAUUUGAACAGGUUUAAUGUUGGAAAAAACUGAGCAGAAAAAUCCCAAUCCAAAGGACAAACACAAUCAACCUGAAGAGUCAUGGACACGGACCAAUGCUGGACUCAGAGUUGGAUCCAUGAAAAUGAACAGUCCAUGAAAACCACUGGUGUGUUUGUCCAGUUCAAAGCUCAAGUGAAUCCUCUGGAGACCAUGAAUGUGAAUCCAUCCAUCACUGGGUCCAGAUCCAGUCCAUGUGGACUAAAGGACUGAACAAAC